UACGUAGGGGGCAAGCGUUGUCCGGAAUCAUUGGGCGUAAAGCGCGCGUAGGCGGCCCGGUAAGUCCGCUCUGAAAGUCCAGGGCUCAACCCUGGAAUGCGGGUGGAUACUGCCGGGCUAGAGUCCGGAAGAGGCGAGUGGAAUUCCUGGUGUAGCGGUGGAAUGCGCAGGUAUCAGGAGGAACACCAAUAGCGAAGGCAGCUCGCUGGGACGGUACUGACGCUAAGGCGCGAAAGCGUGGGGAGCGAACAGG
rnacentral:rRNA from 1 species